rnacentral:lncRNA from 1 species
UGAAUCACACACAAAAAAUUGUAAUGUUUUAUUUUUCCGACAUUGAAAAGAAAGAGUAAUUCAUAUAGACUUGAAACUGGUUAACACGAUUACAGCACACAAAUAUUUGAAGAACUAACCAACCGGUUCUUCUAAAUGAUAUCACAAAACAUUUAAGUUCGAGGAUAUCCGUGGCAAGCCUUAUUGUAUUGAUCCGUGCAGUGCUCUUGAAUGGGUGUGUUGUUUGGCUUGCCAUGGCAGCUUUUUUCACCCGGUCGGUUACAGGCACUUUGGCCAGCAAUCAACGACUGCCCAACUACAGUACCAGAAAUUGUCUGGAGGAGCCUUAUGCUGAAUUCCGAGUCCAGCAUGAACUCCGAGUCAAAGUCCAACUCAGAGUGUGCAAAACGGCACCCCGUGUCGGUGAGGCCAUUGCACCCGGAGGCGGAGUAGCCGACGGUGACGACGCUGGUGUUGAUGGGGAUGCCAAUGCCAUGGCUUGUGGUGAGCAGGGUCAUGGCCAUCAUCACCAUCAUCAGCUUCAUAGCUCCUCCUGAGUUACUCAUCUUUUGUUUUUGUUUUUGCUUUCUUUUUCUGCUGCAUGCAGUCCUAAAAGCACUGUCGUAUAUAUAUA